rnacentral:rRNA from 1 species
GAUGAACGCUAGCGGGAGGCCUAACACAUGCAAGCCGAGCGGUAUUUGUUCUUCGGAACAGAGAGAGCGGCGCACGGGUGCGGAACACGUGUGCAACCUGCCUUUAUCUGGGGGAUAGCCUUUCGAAAGGAAGAUUAAUACCCCAUAAUAUAUUGAGUGGCAUCACUUGAUAUUGAAAACUCCGGUGGAUAGAGAUGGGCACGCGCAAGAUUAGAUAGUUGGUGAGGUAACGGCUCACCAAGUCAAUGAUCUUUAGGGGGCCUGAGAGGGUGAUCCCCCACACUGGUACUGAGACACGGACCAGACUCCUACGGGAGGCAGCAGUGAGGAAUAUUGGACAAUGGGUUAGCGCCUGAUCCAGCCAUCCCGCGUGAAGGACGACGGCCCUAGGGGUUGUAAACUUCUUUUGUAUAGGGAUAAACCUACUCUCGUGAGAGUAGCUGAAGGUACUAUACGAAUAAGCACCGGCUAACUCCGUG